rnacentral:rRNA from 1 species
AGUGAACGCUGGCGGUAGGCCUAACACAUGCAAGUCGAACGGCAGCACAGUAAGAGCUUGUUUUUACGGGUGGCGAGUGGCGGACGGGUGAGGAAUACAUCGGCAUCUACUUUUUCGUGGGGGAUAACGUAGGGAAACUUACGCUAAUACCGCAUACGAUCUACGGGUGAAAGCAGGGGAUCUUCGGACCUUGCGCGAUUGAAUGAGCCGAUGUCGGAUUAGCUAGUUGGCGGGGUAAAGGCCCACCAAGGCGACGAUCCGUAGCUGGACUGAGAGGAUGAUCAGCCACACUGGAACUGGAACACGGUCCAGGCUCCUACGGGAAGCAGCAGUGGGGAAUAUUGGACAAUGGGCGCAAGCCUGAUCCAGCCAUACCGCGUGGGUGAAGAAGGCCUUCGGGUUGUAAAGCCCUUUUGUUGGGAAAAAAAAGCAGCAGGUUAAUACCCCGCUGUUCUGACGGUACCCAAAGAAUAAGCACCGGCUAACUUCGUG